rnacentral:rRNA from 1 species
GUAACGCGUGGGUAACCUGCCGUAUACCGGGGGAUAACACCUGGAAACAGGUGCUAAUACCGCAUAAGCGCACAGCGCCGCAUGGCGCGGUGUGAAAAACUCCGGUGGUAUACGAUGGACCCGCGUCUGAUUAGCUAGUUGGCAGGAUAAAAGCCUACCAAGGCGACGAUCAGUAGCCGGCCUGAGAGGGUGGACGGCCACAUUGGGACUGAGACACGGCCCAAACUCCUACGGGAGGCAGCAGUGGGGAAUAUUGCACAAUGGGGGAAACCCUGAUGCAGCGACGCCGCGUGAGUGAAGAAGUAUUUCGGUAUGUAAAGCUCUGUCAGCAGGGAAGAAAAUGACGGUACCUGACCAAGAAGCCCCGGCUAACUACGUG